rnacentral:rRNA from 1 species
CCUACGGGGUGCAGCAGUGAGGAAUAUUGGUCAAUGGACGAGAGUCUGAACCAGCCAAGUAGCGUGAAGGAUGACUGCCCUAUGGGUUGUAAACUUCUUUUAUAUGGGAAUAAAAUGUUCCACGUGUGGGAUUUUGUAUGUACCAUAUGAAUAAGGAUCGGCUAACUCCGUGCCAGCAGCCGCGGUAAUACGGAGGAUCCGAGCGUUAUCCGGAUUUAUUGGGUUUAAAGGGAGCGUAGGUGGAUUGUUAAGUCAGUUGUGAAAGUUUGCGGCUCAACCGUAAAAUUGCAGUUGAAACUGGCAGUCUUGAGUACAGGAGAGGUGGGCGGAAUGCGUGGUGUAGCGGUGAAAUGCUUAGGUAUCACGAAGAACUCCGAUUGCGAAGGCAGUUCACUGGACUGCAACUGACACUGAGGCUCGAAAGUGUGGGUAUCAAACAGGAUUAGAUACCCCAGUAGUC